rnacentral:piRNA from 1 species
UGCCAGAUUCUGCUCCUGGUUUGAGAAGU